CCUANGGGAGGCAGCAGUGAGGAAUUUUGCGCAAUGGGGGAAACCCUGACGCAGCAACGCCGCGUGAGUGAUGAAGGCUUUCGGGUCGUAAAGCUCUGUCAAGUGGGAAGAAUAUGCCCUGUGAUAAUACCAUGGGGCACUGACGGUACCACUGAAGGAAGCACCGGCUAACUCCGUGCCAGCAGCCGCGGUAAUACGGGGGGUGCAAGCGUUAUUCGGAAUCAUUGGGCGUAAAGGGCGCGUAGGCGGCCCCUUAAGUCAGAUGUGAAAGCCCUCAGCUUAACUGAGGAAGUGCAUUUGAAACUAAGGGGCUUGAGUAUGGGAGAGGGAAGCGGAAUUCCUGGUGUAGCGGUGAAAUGCGUAGAUAUCAGGAGGAACACCGGUGGCGAAGGCGGCUUCCUGGACCAAUACUGACGCUGAGGCGCGAAGGCGUGGGGAGCAAACAGGAUUAGAUACCCUANUANUC
rnacentral:rRNA from 1 species